UCAACCAGGCUGUUGGAAGAUGUUGACUAGUUCCCAAUUGUUGCAAAAUCUGUGAAGAUCUAACAUCCCUGCAGAAAAUGCAUGUCCCAGUGACCUAAUGGUACCCAAGGGCCAGUCCCCUUCCUCGUGGCCCCCUUUAAUGAGCCUUGCAAGUCCAGGCAGGUUCUUGGGAUUCCCUUCGCCCCACACAGAUCUGAGAUUUGGACAUACAGCCAUGUACCACAUAAUGCUCUUUUUGGUCAACAUUCCACAUAUAUGACAGUGGUCCCAUAAGAUUAUAAUACCGCAUUUUUACUGUACCUUUUCAAUAUUCAACUACGUUUAGAUAUACAAGUACUACUGUGCUACAACUGCCUACAGUAUUCAGUGCAGUAACAUGCUUUACAGGUUUGUAGCCUAGGAGCAAGAGGCUCUACCAUCCAGCCCAGGUGUGUAGUCAGGUAUACCCUCUAGGUUUAAGUGAAUUCUGUGGUGUUCACACAGCAAUGAAAUUGCCUAAUAUGCGUUUCUCAGAAUGUAUCCUCAUUGUUAAGUGAUGCAUGACUGUAUAUUGGAUGUUCCUUGUGCCCUCAGCUGCCUUUUUCAGGUCCCCUAAAAAUUGUGAAGUCCUAGAACUGAAACCCCAACCAGCCAGAGGGCACUGAGCAUGAACCAUAGAAAACAUGACACCUGGCCCAACUCCACUUCAAGGUGUUAAAUUUGAUCUGGACAGCCCAACAAAGUCCAAGGCCCUGGGAAGCAGUGAAAAGCAGCAGCCUUGAAAGGCAGCCUCUGAGUGCUCCAAAGUCUCCUGUUUGAAGCAUGACGACUCCUGUUCCAGAAAAGACGGUAUCAGUAACUCUACAGACUAACAGAAGCUCCAGCAGGUGGGUCCCUCAUCCUUCGUGAAUUACCAGAUGGAAAGUCCGUAAAUAUAUACUCUCUGUGUGUCUUUUAGCUUCAGCCAGAACUAUGUCUCUUUCUCUUCAUGGCUCCCGACAGUACUGAAUCAUGGAAUCAGUCCAUCAAUUCAUCACCAUGUCUUUUAGCCUUCAAAGUAAACCAAGCUUGUCGCCUGAAAGUGAACCUUCCUUCAAAAUAUUUCUGUAUUUUGUUUUUUGAGA